GUCCUAGCCGUAAACGAUGGGUGCUAGGUAGUGGUCGUUCCUAUGCGAUCACUGCUGAAGCAAACGUAUUAAGCACCCCGCCUGGGGAGUACGGUCGCAAGACUAAAACUCAAAGGAAUUGACGGGGGCUCACACAAGCGGUGGAGCAUGUUGCUUAAUUCGAAGCAACGCGAAGAACCUUACCUGGGCUUGACAUGCUGGUGGUAGCGGCCCGAAAGGGUUUGCGACUCUCUCCCGAGAGAGCCAGCACAGGUGUUGCAUGGCUGUCGU
rnacentral:rRNA from 1 species